UACAGAGGGGGCAAGCGUUGUUCGGAAUUACUGGGCGUAAAGGGCGCGUAGGCGGCCUGUUAAGUCGAACGUGAAAUCCCCGGGCUCAACCCGGGAACUGCGUCCGAUACUGGCAGGCUUGAAUCCGGGAGAGGGAUGCGGAAUUCCUGGUGUAGCGGUGAAAUGCGCAGAUAUCAGGAGGAACACCGGUGGCGAAGGCGGUUCUCUGGGCCUUACCUGACGCUGAGGAGCGAAAGCAUGGGGGAGCAAACAGG
rnacentral:rRNA from 1 species